GGGGAUAUAGCUCAAUUAAUAGAGUGCCUGCUUCGAAUGCACAAGGCUCUGGGUUUAAUCCCCAGAAUCACUA
rnacentral:tRNA from 1 species